rnacentral:rRNA from 1 species
AUUGAACGCUGGCGGCAUGCCUUACACAUGCAAGUCGAACGGUAACAGGUCUUCGGAUGCUGACGAGUGGCGAACGGGUGAGUAAUACAUCGGAACGUGCCUAGUAGUGGGGGAUAACUACUCGAAAGAGUGGCUAAUACCGCAUGAGAUCUACGGAUGAAAGCAUGGGAGCGCAAGACCUUGUGCUACUAGAGCGGCGGAUGGCAGAUUAGGUAGUUGGUGGGAUAAAAGCUUACCAAGCCGACGAUCUGUAGCUGGUCUGAGAGGACGAUCAGCCACACUGGGACUGAGACACGGCCCAGACUCCUACGGGAGGCAGCAGUGGGGAAUUUUGGACAAUGGGCGAAAGCCUGAUCCAGCAAUGCCGCGUGCAGGAUGAAGGCCUUCGGGUUGUAAACUGCUUUUGUACGGAACGAAAAGCCCCGGGUUAAUACCCUGGGGUCAUGACGGUACCGUAAGAAUAAGCACCGGCUAACUACGUGCCAGCCGCCGCCGUAAAAC